UACGUAGGGGGCAAGCGUUGUCCGGAAUCAUUGGGCGUAAAGAGCGUGUAGGCGGUUCAGUAAGUCUGCUGUGAAAGUCCAGGGCUCAACCCUGGGAUGCCGGUGGAUACUGCUGGGCUAGAGUACGGAAGAGGCGAGUGGAAUUCCCGGUGUAGCGGUGAGAUGCGCAGAUAUCAGGAGGAACACCGAUGGCGAAGGCAGCUCGCUGGGACGUCACUGACGCUGAGACGCGAAAGCGUGGGGAGCAAACAGG
rnacentral:rRNA from 1 species